GUGAGCCGUAUGAUGGGAGACUAUCACGUACGGUUCGGAGAGCACUUAGUAGGCAGGCCGUAGGUCAUCACUUCCUACCGAAGUUUGACUCUAU
rnacentral:ncRNA from 1 species